AUUGAACGCUGGCGGGAGGCUUUACACAUGCAAGUCGAACGGAGUGGCGGACGGGUGAGUAAUGUCUCGGAACGUGCCCAGUAGCGGGGGAUAACUACUCGAAAGAGUGGCUAAUACCGCCUACUAUUUGAGCGGCCGAUAUCGGAUUAGCUAGUUGGUGGGGUAACGGCUCACCAAGGCAACGAUCCGUAGAUGGUGUGAGAGGACGACCAGCCACACUGGGACUGAGACACGGCCCAGACUCCUACGGGAGGCAGCAGUGGGGAAGUUUGGACAAUGGGGGAAACCCUGAUCCAGCCAGCCCGCGUGUAUGAUGAAGGCCUUCGGGUUGUAAAGUACUUUUGGCAGAGAAGCGGUAUCUGCAGAAUAAGCACCGGCUAACUACGUGCCAGCAGCCGCGGUAAUAC
rnacentral:rRNA from 1 species